GUAAACUUUUGUAGAACUGGAUAUGCUGCGAUCAACGAUGCCAAAGGUUUUUGUUUAAUAUUUGACAUUGACGUUCGAAUUUUUUGUUGGCAGUUCUCACCUUUCGUUAUUCAUUAUCGGUAGUCGCUUUCAACAGAAUUGUGGUGUGUCUGAAGUGCUUUUAGUCGAAAUGCAUAACCAUUUACAUAGUAAAGCUAAGGAAUGGGAGGCUAGUUUCAUCCAUUAUUUUGAAAUGGACUAUGAAGAUUGUGAUCCUUUAUUUCCAUUGGGAAGAUAGAGGAGUGUAUCCUUAUAUAAAAGCAACUUUGUUCAUAUUUUUAUUUUAGCGUUCGUAGACGUUACCAUAGUAUAAUCCUUCAUCACUAGAUACUCAACUCCUUUUGGAAAUACAUACCGAUUUUUUCAGCGUAGCAUUUACGUAUAUGCGUUGUGGUAAUGUCCCAACAACAACUUUUGGUAUCUGAAAAAACCGUAUAUUCGUUCAAAGGGUUCCCUCCUACUGCAUAAAUUUGUUGUUACUAUUUGCCUUAUAACGUGAACUGUUGUUUGGAGAAAACAAAAUGAAACGUGGGUAGAUUUGUUCGUCGUUGGACUCCUUAUCUGUCGCAUUCCUCCAAAUCCCACCCAGAUUUACGCAGGCUCACCAAUAAAGCUCUAACGAGCCUCCGUACGUACAGAGAAUUUUAUAGGGUAGAAAAAAUGCACAAUCUAAAUUAUAUAGAUACGGAAUUAUAAUCUUGUGUGUGUGAAUUUUUGUUUAUGCAUUGUAAGGAAAUCAAUUAUUUCAUUUAUGUAUAACCCGGUUUUUUAUUUAACCGUAAGACACGUUGAUACAGUCACCCGCAGACUGGUAUCUCGGAUACAUCUGUAACAUUGCGUCUUAUGGAGCCGUUCACACACGCAUACUUCUCGCAUACAGUACCGGCGACUAAAUUUCGGUUUCCCGCUAGGUCCAGUCGCCCGGAGAUUUUACGACUUUAGGGAACUGAUGGGCUAUUGGUUCAUAUGGAACUCUUUACAGGAGGAUACCUUUUCAUUAGCAACCGGUCAGUGCUGUUCGUCACCUCCGCCCGAAGAAACAAAAUAGUCAUAAAAUGGAGCGCACCUUUGAUGUAUUGUAUAGUAAAAUGGCUUCUGCAACGUCAAUUUUAUCAGGUGUGGUGUGACUUUACAGAAACCCGCCCGCCACUGCACUGAAAAUCGAAGUACCUCACUGCGUAAGGCUGGAAUUCUGAUGACAAAGAUACAGUAUUUCGCAUACAGUACCACCGUGUAAAAGAGCUCUAAGGAAGCUAAAAGAUGCAAAUAGAGUAAAUAAAUAAAUACUGCACUAUGUGUGCAUAUUUAGGGUGAGAUAAAUGAAUCAGAUCAUUGUAAUAAGGUAAGAACAAAGAGAUCCGAGUUAAAUACGUCUAUCGCAACCCAAAGUUAAAUGACAAAUAAUGAGACAGGAGGCUUUAAGCGGCGUUACAUGGGGCGAACCUGCGCCGCGUUGUCGCAAAGCGCGAGGUGCAAUUUUAAGUCAAUCAGUCCUCUGAAUGGAUCCCGAAGACUGAAAUUAAUCCAAUAGCGAAAAUCAUAUCGAUCGAGCCACCGUCAUGCUGCGGACGAAGGUUUUCGCAGCAUUUCGAAGAAAGAAAACAAGAAGCUUGAACAUAUCCACGGCGUACCAGGAUGCCAGAAGCGGCGUAGGUAGGUGCGGAUAGCGCCGAUCCUGACGAACGGAGUUAGGUCAGAGCCGGGACGUGAUGACAUGCGGUGGCGACGUCUUGAGCCAAAGCGACCAGCCUCAGUUGCUUAUGUAGGGAAGGUAGGCUUGCCCAGGCACAAGUGGUUUUUGCUGGCCCUUGGUGGUGCUUAUUAACAAUUCGUCGAGGCGUCCGGCGUUGCGGCGAAUGGGGCGUUUGCUGGUAGUGGGGUCCUUCCCUGGCGUUCCUAACAACGGCGGGAAGUCUAUAGUCGGUCCGUGCAUAGUACAGCUGGAUGCAAGAUAACUCUCCUUGUGAGUGAAAGCCGUGACCCGAACUCGUCUAGAACUGGUGGUGCACAAACGAUAAAGCAAGAACAUACCUUAAAGAAAAUAAGAACCGUUUCAUAAUUUAAUAAAGAUUAUUGACUUAUUAUUUAUCCCUUUACCUUUUUCCUUAAGAGGCCAGGAGAGAAUUACUAACUGAUAGCUAUCGGGCGCACAUUAUACAUAAUUCCAUAACAAGAACCACCCGUAAUUUAAUUAAGGUAUGCGAAGAUUAGCCAGAGGUAGGAUGGAGUAGAAGAGGUAUUUGUAACAUCCGUUACAAAAUGACACCCAAAAACGGGGCUUACGUAUUAGAGUGUUCUGGAGAAGCGAUGAAAAUAACGGGAAGGACACACAAACAGGAAUUGAUGCUUCACUUGACCUUCACUGUGGAAUACUGUUUGUUGAAAUCUAAGAACCUCGUGCGUUGCCGGAUGUUUCUACUAUCGUUCUGUAUUUUAGUUCAAAAAGGUAUUUGGGCAUUUGCUUUUAUGCUUUCAGAGAAAUGUAUGUAUCUGUGCCACUAAAUUACAUUCCCAACAGUUUCUUUUUGAAUCAAACAGCAUAGAUA